UUGAUUUGGUGUUCAGCAGCAUAAGUGUCUGACCACUGAAGAGAACGCAAGUUCUACAGCUACAGCAGGUCAAUCCACCAAUAUAUGUCAUGCACCAUGGGCAGAUGUAUCGAAGGUGCGUACCUGAGCUAUUUUUUAGAAAGUAUUAGCCACGUUACAAUUUGAUGACAUUACAGAAGCCUCACAAUAGGUGUUUAACGUACCAGCAAAUCUGACGCCCGACUGUGCAGUCGAUGACGUGGCACGCAACCAUUGGUUGAUGAAAUGUAGUCAGUCUGGAAUGUGACUCUUGUAAUGUGACAUCAUAACUCUUAAUAUACAUUUACACCCCUUUAGAGAACAGUUAGUCAUGAUAUGGCUGUGCUGUUGAUGAUAACUGAAGGGUGGGGAAACAAUGACUGACACAUGUCUGUUUAUAAAUGUGCAGGAUUAUAAAUGUAUACAUUUAUAAAGGUUUAUAAAAUGUAAAGAUGUUAUAUCAUCAUGCUAUGCAACCAUAGAUAGGACAUGAAACAAAAAAAAAUAUAUUUUGUGUUGUCUAAUUCUGCAGUUUGCAAGCUGGUCUUAUGGGUUGCAGUUUGUGUGACCUUCAUCGUCUUGGGUAAGUAGCUAGUAAGAAAAACAUAUCGUUAUCAUACCGCAUCACCCUUCGUCAACUAAACUCCUCUACUUCUGCACAUAGGUGCCGUGUACAUUGAUGACUGCCCAGUGAAACGUAUCAUACCUAUCCACAUGAUCAUUUCUGGAUCUUUCGGUCUCCUCUAUGUAUUCUUCUCCUGCUACAAGGACCGUGUUGUGUGCCAACAUUUGUCUAAACUAUUUUGGUUCAUGAUCAUCAUCUGGCUCAUUAUUGGCCAUUUUUGGACCUUCUCUGUAUUCCAACCCAACUACGAACGGAAAGAGAUCAUCGGCAACACGGUAUACUGCAACAAAUCUCUAUACCUCUUUGUGGCCUCUACCACCAUCAUAUUGGACAUUAUUAUAUGUGUGUGGCUGCUUGUGUUGUUCGAUGUAUGUAAAUGCUUCAUACUUUGUCUGUUCUGCUGUGUCUCUUUAUGCAUGUCUGACGAUGUCAAACCUGUGGAGGUUGUUGAGCCUUUGAGGGUUGUGGAGACUGAGGACUGUGUUGAACCUAAGGAGUGUGUGGGGACUGACGGAAGUGUGGGGACUGAAGUGUGUGUGGGGACUGAAGUGUGUGCGGGGACUGAAGUGUGUGCGGGGACUGAAGUGUGUGUGGGGACUGAGGUGUGUGUGGGGACUGAGGUAUGUGUGGAGACUCAGGAGAGAGUGGGGCAUGACGAGAGUGUGGGACAUGAAGAGAGUGUGAGUCCAACACUGCUCAAUAUUAAUGCAAUUCACUAUUCACAAUACCAAUAG
rnacentral:lncRNA from 8 species